AUUGUACGCUGGCGGCAUGCCUUACACAUGCAAGUCGAACGGCAGCACGGGAGCAAUCCUGGUGGCGAGUGGCGAACGGGUGAGUAAUAUAUCGGAACGUGCCCAGUGAUGGGGGAUAGCCCGGCGAAAGCCGGAUUAAUACCGCAUACGACCUACGGGUGAAAGCAGGGGAUCGCAAGACCUUGCGUCAUUGGAGCGGCCGAUAUCAGAUUAGCUGUUGGUGGGGUAAAAGACCUACCAAGGCGACGAUCUGUAGCUGGUCUGAGAGGACGACCAGCCACACUGGGACUGAGACACGGCCCAGACUCCUACGGGAGGCAGCAGUGGGGAAUUUUGGACAAUGGGCGCAAGCCUGAUCCAGCCAUGCCGCGUGCGGGAAGAAGGCC
rnacentral:rRNA from 1 species